UACGUAGGGGGCAAGCGUUGUCCGGAAUUAUUGGGCGUAAAGAGCUCGUAGGCGGUCUGUCGCGUCGAAUGGGAAAACCCGGGGCUCAACCCCGGGCCUGCAUUCGAUACGGGCAGACUAGAGUUCGGUAGGGGAGUCUGGAAUUCCUGGUGUAGCGGUGAAAUGCGCAGAUAUCAGGAGGGACACCGGUGGCGAAGGCGGGACUCUGGGCCGAUACUGACGCUGGGGAGCGAAAGCGUGGGGAGCGAACAGG
rnacentral:rRNA from 1 species